CAUGCAAGUCGAACGGAAAGGCCCUUCGGGGUACUCGAGUGGCGAACGGGUGAGUAACACGUGGGUGAUCUGCCCUGCACUUUGGGAUAAGCCUGGGAAACUGGGUCUAAUACCGAAUACACCUCGCUGGCCGCAUGGUCUGGUGGGGGAAAGCUUUUGCGGUGUGGGAUGGGCCCGCGGCCUAUCAGCUUGUUGGUGGGGUGAUGGCCUACCAAGGCGACGACGGGUAGCCGGCCUGAGAGGGUGACCGGCCACACUGGGACUGAGAUACGGCCCAGACUCCUACGGGAGGCAGCAGUGGGGAAUAUUGCACAAUGGGCGCAAGCCUGAUGCAGCGACGCCGCGUGGGGGAUGACGGCCUUCGGGUUGUAAACUCCUUUCAGCACAGACGAAGCGCAAGUGACGGUAUGUGCAGAAGAAGGACCGGCCAACUACGUGCCAGCC
rnacentral:rRNA from 1 species